rnacentral:rRNA from 1 species
AGAGUUUGAUCCUGGCUCAGAUUGAACGCUGGCGGCGUGCCUAACACAUGCAAGUCGAGCGGUAACAGGUGUAGCAAUACAUGCUGACGAGCGGCGAACGGGUGAGUAAUGCAUUGGAUCUUCCCAGUAGUGGGGAAUAACCAGUCGAAAGAUUGGCUAAUACCGCAUACGUCUGUAAAGGGAAAGCGGGGGCUCGUAAGACCUCGCGCUAUUGGAUGAGCCAAUGUCGGAUUAGCUAGUUGGUGGGGUAAUGGCCUACUAAGGCGACAAUCCGUAGCUGGUCUGAGAGGACGACCAGCCACACCGGAACUGAGACACGGUCCGGACUCCUACGGGAGGCAGCAGUGGGGAAUAUUGGACAAUGGGGGAAACCCUGAUCCAGCGACGCCGCGUGUGUGAAGAAGGCCUGCGGGUUGUAAAGCACUUUUAGUGGGGACAAAAAGCUACGGACUAAUAUUCUGNNNNCUGAUUUAACCCNGAAAAAGCACCGGCUAACUCUGUGCCAGCAGCCGCGGUAAUACAGAGGGUGCGAGCGUNNNNNNGAAUUACUGGGCGUAAAGCGCGCGUAGACGGUUUUGUAAGUCAGAUGUGAAAUCCCUGGGCUCAACCUGGGAACUGCAUUUGAUACUGCAUGGCUAGAGUAUCGAAGAGGGAAGUGGAAUUUCCGGUGUAGCGGUGAAAUGCGUAGAUAUCGGAAGGAACACCAGUGGCGAAAGCGACUUCCUGGUCGAAUACUGACGUUCAUGUGCGAAAGCGUGGGGAGCAAACAGGAUUAGAUACCCUAGUAGUCC